GCCCAGGUGGCGAAAUUGGUAGACGCGCAUGGUUCAGGUCCAUGUACUUACAAGUAUGGAGGUUCAAAUCCUCUUCUGGGCACCA
rnacentral:tRNA from 3 species